GACGAACGCUGGCGGCGUGCCUAAUACAUGCAAGUAGAACGCUGAAGGAGGAGCUUGCUUCUCUGGAUGAGUUGCGAACGGGUGAGUAACGCGUAGGUAACCUGCCUGGUAGCGGGGGAUAACUAUUGGAAACGAUAGCUAAUACCGCAUAAUAGUAGAUGUUGCAUGACAUUUGCUUAAAAGGUGCAAUUGCAUCACUACCAGAUGGACCUGCGUUGUAUUAGCUAGUUGGUGAGGUAACGGCUCACCAAGGCAACGAUACAUAGCCGACCUGAGAGGGUGAUCGGCCACACUGGGACCGAGACACGGCCCAGACUCCUACGGGAGGCAGCAGUAGGGAAUCUUCGGCAAUGGACGGAAGUCUGACCGAGCAACGCCGCGUGAGUGAAGAAGGUUUUCGGAUCGUAAAGCUCUGUUGUAAGAGAAGAACGAGUGUGAGAGUGGAAAGUUCACACUGUGACGGUAGCUUACCAGAAAGGGACGGCUAACUACGUG
rnacentral:rRNA from 1 species